AUCCUGGUAGUAUUAUGCCUCAUUCACACGUCAGUGAUUUGCAUCAGUGAUUGUGAGCAAAAACCAGGGUUGGAGCCCCCACAGACAAGGUGUAAGGGAGAGAUCUGCUCCUGUUCUGUGUUUAGAGCCACACCUAGUUUUGG